AACGAACGCUGGCGGCAGGCUUAACACAUGCAAGUCGAACGCCCUUUUCGGAGGGAGUGGCAGACGGGUGAGUAACGCGUGGGAAUCUACCUAUCACUAGGGAAUAACUCAGGGAAACUUGUGCUAAUACCCUAUACGGACCGAGAGGUUGAAAGAUUUAUCGGUGAUAGAUAGAGCCCGCGUUGGAUUAGCUAGUUGGUGGGGGUUAAAAAGGCCCACCAAGGCGACGAUCCAUAGCUGGU
rnacentral:rRNA from 1 species